CAGCGCACUGGCGCCACCCAGCGUGCGGUCUUUGCUCGUACUAUUUUCUUUGUUUCGUUACUAGUAAUGCAGUGUCGAGCCUUGUGUAGGCGUUUGCUGGGCUUCCCCAAGCGAGGAGGUUUGUGGCGAGGCGUGCGGAGCGGCAAGGUUGCCGAUGGCAUGAGGACAUCAAACCCACAGUGCCCAGCCCGACACGCGACGACGUCCUCAGUCACCUUCGACUCUGCUGCUGCAUCCUUUACCACCACAGGCCAGGCCCCAUCUCUUCAUGAUGCUUUUGUUUCGCGAUUCUCAGCUCAGCUUCUCUCAAGUCCGCAUCGUGACAUCACUCACGUCCCGUACGGGGACUGGUUCGCACUUUACGUUCAAGCGCGCAAGCGCUGGCACUCGCUCGAGCGGGAACCUACCUGCGCCACGUCUGCUACCCGUGAGAAGAGCAAGAUGGGGGAGAGGUCAGAACAAGCUGAGAUACUAGAAGUGCGUUCGCAGCAUGCAAAGCAGAGCAUCGAUGCACUGCUGCUCAGCAGCUUGUUUGCCCGUCACUGGACGGAGGUGCAAACAGCCACCACGUCGUCGUCACCUCCGCUUUCGACAUAUCGCUGGUGGUGGCAUCGUGGUUCCCUCUUCUCCGCCUCCGCCCCGGCAAAUGCUCCAGACUGUGAGGCCGCCUCGCCGCCCCUGGAGCUGUGCACGCCAGAAUUUUUGACGGAGCCGUUGUUGGGUGGAAGUCACCUGCGCCUGUGGAUGGAAGACAUUCGCGCCUCCUCUGGUAUGACGGACGUCACCUGCGCAGCCCGCGACGCCACAGCAGUGCCGACGGCUAUUCUCCCGUUCUCCUCCUUGUGGGUGGUGAAGCAGAGUGCGUACUGGCGGCCAUCAGCAGCAGCUGGCGCCGGUGCUGGUGACCACAGUGGGGCGGGCAGCAGCGGUAAUGAAACAGCCGCCUUCACCCUUCAGGAGCGGCAGGCCCGCCAAGCACUUCUGCAGUCGGUGGACCAACUCCUUCAACUGCAGCGCGAUGCGGUGGAACGUUGCAACAGCCCGUUGUGUCUUCCUGCGAAUCAGCUGCAACGCGUGUGCGUCCUCUCGCCUACCCAAGAGUGGGACCUCUUGUGCGAUCUCCCUCGCUACCGGCAGGCGCGGUACCGGUCAGCUCGCGAAGCAUCAUCCGCAAGCACGAACGUAUCGGAUCACUCGACAGCGGCAUGUGUAUUACCGCCUCGGUGGCUGUCAUUGAGCUGCUUGUGUGAAGACGCCACCGCACGACUCGCCUACUGUACGCACAUGUUGAACUGGCGGUGGCAGCUGAAAUCGAGCACGAACGCGCCAGCAAGCAAGACCGCCCCUGUCGCGGUCCGGGUUCUCUCACCUGCGACUGAGCAUGCUCACCUUCGCAGUCUUUCGGUCUCCUCGCUGCACGAGCAGUCGUGCAUGAAAGCCUCACUGCAACGGCGACACGCUGCGCGUUGCCAGUCCCCAUCUGCGGUCUCUGGGGCACUCUCAGCAGCGACCGUCCACGAGCAGGCGCGCAAAGGCUGCAGUGACGCGGUGCGGCGGAUGUCGCAUCGAGAAGAGAACAUCCGUCAGUCCUUUUCUGUUCGCUGAAGCAGCAUGCAGAGUGAGUGAGUGCAUUCGCUAAGCAGUGCGGAUAUUUCGCGGGGUUUGUCUCGGAAAAAAAAAUGCCACUGGAGUAUAACUAGAGUGAAAGGCAUGUCUCUCUCUCUCUCCUUACGUUUCACUGCUUUGCAUCCCCACUGUGUACUCUCCUCAAGGAGAUGCUUCGGCAUGGCCAGAUCGCCUGGUGCGCUUCAUGGUGCACGAAAAAAAAAAAGAAAAAGUUAACAGAGGUGCGAGUGAGAAUAAAGGCUGUGCGGCGAUGGGGCAAUGCGCAUCCUCAUGCAAUUACUUCACAGAUGACACAAUACAUAUACAUAUAUAUAUAUAUAUAACGUGAGCAUGCUUACACUGCAAAUGGCAUGAAGGGAAGGCCUACGAGGAAUAUUUUUUUUGACCGGUAUGGCAUCGGUGGAUACACAACAUUU
rnacentral:misc_RNA from 1 species